rnacentral:rRNA from 1 species
UACGUAGGGGGCAAGCGUUGUCCGGAUUUACUGGGCGUAAAGAGCGCGUAGGCGGAAGCUUAAGUGUGGUCUGAAAGCCCCCGGCUCAACCGGGGAAGGUGACUGCAAACUGGGCUUCUUGAGGGCGAUAGGGGAGAGCGGAAUUCCUGGUGUAGCGGUGAAAUGCGUAGAGAUCAGGAGGAACACCGAUGGCGAAGGCAGCUCUCUGGGUCGGCCCUGACGCUGAGGCGCGAAAGCGUGGGGAGCGAACGGG